rnacentral:rRNA from 1 species
GACAGAGGGUGCAAACGUUGUUCGGAAUUACUGGGCGUAAAGCGUGUGUAGGCGGCCCGAUAAGUCGGAUGUGAAAGCCCUGGGCUCAACCCAGGAAGUGCAUUCGAAACUGCCGGGCUAGAGUAUCGGAGAGGUUGGUGGAAUUCUCGGUGUAGAGGUGAAAUUCGUAGAUAUCGAGAGGAACACCGGUGGCGAAGGCGGCCAACUGGACGAAUACUGACGCUGAGACACGAAAGCGUGGGGAGCAAACAGG